rnacentral:SRP_RNA from 1 species
CCUGUAGUCCCAGGUACUGGGGAGGUGAGGCGGGAGAAUGACUUGAGCCUCGGUGUUCUGGGCUGUAGUGCGCCAUGCUGGUGUCUGUACUAAGUUGGCAUCAGUAUGAUGACCUCACACGAGUGGAAGACCACCAGGUUGCCUAAGGAGGAGGAAACUAGCCCAGGUUGGAAACAGAGCAGGUCAAACUCCCAUGAUGAUCAGUGGUGGGACAGCACCUGUGAAUAGCCACUGUACUCCAGCCUGGGCAACAUAGCAAGAUCCCAUCUAU